rnacentral:tRNA from 3 species
GCGGCCGUAGCGUAGCCCGGUUUAACGCGCCUCCUUGUCACGGAGGAGAUCGUGGGUUCAAAUCCCAUCGGCCGCG